CUGCAUGGCUGUCGUCAGCUCGUGCCGUGAGAUGUUGGGUUAAGUCCCGCAACGAGCGCAACCCUUUUCCUUAUUUGCCAGCGGGUUAAGCCGGGAACUUUAAGGAUACUGCCAGUGACAAACUGGAGGAAGGCGGGGACGACGUCAAGUCAUCAUGGCCCUUACGACCAGGGCUACACACGUGCUACAAUGGUAGGUACAGAGGGUUGCUGCACAGCGGUGUGAUGCUAAUCUCAAAAAGCCUAUCGUAGUCCGGAUUGGAGUCUGCGACUCGACUCCAUGAAGUCGGAAUCGCUAGUAAUCGCAGAUCAGAAUGCUGCGGUGAAUACGUU
rnacentral:rRNA from 1 species